GGACUACAAGGGUUUCUAAUCCCGUUCGCUCCCCAUGCUGUCGUGGCUGAGCGUCAGUUGCGAGCCAGGGCGCCGCCUUCGCCUCUGGGGUUCCUCCGGAUCUCUACGCAUUUCACCACUACACCCGGAAUUCCACGCCCCUCUCUCGCACUCUAGAAGAACAGUCUGGCAUAACCUAGCCACGUUGAGCGCGGCCCUUUUAUACACCACUUAUCCCCCCGCCUGCACACCCUUUACGCCCAGUCAAUCCGGAUAACGCUCGCCACCUACGUUUUACCGCGGCGGCUGGCAC
rnacentral:rRNA from 1 species